ACUGGGGCGCUAUGGUGCCUGGAGCUGGGCAGUUUUCUCGUCAGAGUGGGGACUGGUAAGAGCGACCUCCCCGCCAGGUCCUGUGUGUUGCCGGCUGAAGAAGGGUAGCUGAAAAAUUCAGACCCAGCACAGUGUUUAUGUUGGUCAAAAAUAGAAAACUAUGUCUGGCGCGGCCGAGGCGGGAGGACCCUUCAGGCCAAGAGCAGCGUAGCAACAUGGCGCAACCCCAUCUCUGUAGUCCUACCUCAGCCCCCCAGCUACUUGAACCCAAAGGUUCAAGGCUCCAGUGAGCUAUGAUCCCACCACAGCAUUCCAGCCUGCGAGAUUGAGAUGAUGAUUAUUCCCCACCUUCUAAGAGACAAAGACCAACGAGCCACCACAGCCACCAGUCCCAGAACCCGCCAAUGCUGGGGAACGGAAAAUGAGGGAGUUCAACUCUGAGAAAUGGAAUCAUCGUAUCGCUGAUCUACGUAAACAAACUGAAGAAUUGUCUGAAAGAAAAUAUGACAUGAACUUAUGAAUUCAACAGGUGAAGAUUUACAACUUGAUAAAUCAACUUUGUGAGCUCGAGCUGUAAAAGCCAAAGGUCUGGUGAUGAUCCCAUACCCUUUUUUCCAGUCUCAUGUUGAAGAUUUUUAUGUAGAAGGCCUUCCCAAAGGAAUUUUUUUUUUUUUUUUUUUUUGAGAUGGAGUUUUCACUCUUAUCGCCCAGGCUGGGGUGCAAUGGCGCAACCUUGCUGGUCACUGCAACCUCUGCCUCCUGGGUUCAAGAAAUUCUCCUGCCUUAGCCUCCCAAGUCGCUGGGAUUAUAGGUGCCCACCACCACACCAGGCUAAUUUUUGUAUUUUUAGUGGAGAUGGGGUUUCACCAUGUUGGCCGGGCCAGUCUCGAACUCCUGAUGUCAAGUGAUCUUCCCGCCUCGACUCCUGACAUCAAGUGAUCUUCCCGCCUCGGCCUCCCAGAGUGCUGAGAUUACAGACGUGAACCCAUGCCUGGCCAGGAAUUUUGUUUUUUAGGAAGGCUUUCUACUAAUGGAAUUCCUGGCCUUGAGAGGAUGUUACUUUCGAAGGAAAGGAUUUUUUUGUUAUUAAAAGAGCCACCUAAGCUGAAGAUUCCCUUGAGAACAAGUACUGUCCUGCGGUUUCAUGGCCUUUCUUCCAUUUGUGGUUCUUGUGAAGUGGAAUUUAAAUGACAUCUUAUCAAGAUGGAUAAACCCUAGUUUCCCAGUGCUGGAAUAUAGAAAAUGGAUGGACAAGUAAAUCCCACUCAGCACCCAUAGUCCAGGCAUGGGGACCUCAACACACCUGAGCACCAGACAUCACCUUUCAUUCUGGACCUACCAUGAAAGACUUCUGAAUCCAGGAAGAGAAACUGACUGGGCAACAUGUUAUUCAGAGAUGGGACCUCAGUAUGUUGCCACGGCUGACCUUGAACUCCUGCACUCAAGGGAUUUUCCUACCCUGGCCUCCCAAAGUAUUGGUAUUACAGGCAUGAGCCAUUGUGCCCACCGUCUCUGGUUCUUAACCUUCUGCCUCCCUCUUCCAGUUUUAAAGAAUGCUUGUAAUUACAUGGGCUCUCCUAGAUACUCCAGGAUAAUCUUGUUUUAAGGUCAGCUGAUGAGCAACAUUAAUUUUAUCUGCACUAUUAAUUCCCCCUUCCUAUGUAAUUGUGCUGUGUAACAUAGGACAUGAGCAAUUGGUGGCGGUGGGGGUUAUUACUUUGGCCACCACAGUAACUAUUUUAUGCCAGGUACUCAGCUAAGCACUGGUGAAUUAAGCAUGAAUAACACACACUCCCUAAUCUCCAUCCAUUCAUGGGAGGAGCACUUCACCUGCCAUGCUCCUGAGAAUCUCGGGAGUCAGAGAAGUCUUCUAUGAGGAGGUGAUGCCAAAGCGGACAAGUGACAGAGGAGUCAAAGCUAGCUAGGAAGGGAGUAGAGGUUUAAGGGGAAGCAUAUUAUAAGCAGAGGAUAUUACCCACUUCAGAGACUCCCAGAGGAGAAAGAGUGUGCGUUCAAGAGGCAGAUGAGGCUCAGUUGGACUCCAUAGCAGAUGAAAUGGAGAGGGGCAAGCAGUGAGGCUGCCUUGCAAGGCAGGGCAGAGCAGGGGCUGUUAAGGAGUUUGGACUUAAUCCCUGAGGCAAGGAGAAGUGAUGUAAAUGGAGGAGUAACAUGAUGAGAUUCAUGGAUUAGAGACAUGGCUCAGGCUGCUGUAGAGAAGGCACCAGGGAGAGCAGAUGGCUCAAUGGGUGUGCAGGAGACCUCUCCCUGAGUUUAGGGAGAGGUUUUUAAAACAGAAGAAGUUUGAGUAAUUUAAAUGAUGAUGGGAAGGAGCUAAAAGUGGGGGAUAGGUUAAAGAUACAGGAAAGCAGGAGGAAGAACUGACAAGUGAGGUUCCAGAGAGGGCAGGAGAAGAGGAGAUUCCCAUAGGGGGAUUAACACUUUCUUUUCUUUUUUCUUUCUAAGACAGGGUCUCACUCUGUCGCCCAGGCUGGAGUGCAGUGGCACAAUCUUGGCUCACUGUAGUGUAGACUUCCCAGGCUCAAGGGAUUUCUCCCACCCCAGACUCCCAAGUAGCUGGAACUAUGGGUGUGCACCACCACCACACCUGGCUAAUGUCUCUUUUUUUUGGUAGACACAGAGUCUCACUAUUUAGCACUGAUUGGUCUCCAACUCCUGGCCUCAAGCGAUCCUCCUGCCUAGGCUUCCCAAAUUGCUGGGAUUACAGGCAUGAGCCACAAUGCCUGGCCUCUGCUAGUUCCGUAUUCUCUAGAGUUGUCUUUACUUUGUGCUAGUGUGUCCCUCAUUGUGCUGAUCCUCUGUAAAAAUUAAUACCUUUUUUUUUUUUUUUUUUUUUGAGAUGGAGUUUCACUCUUGUUGCCCAGGCUGGAGUGCAAUGGCACUAUCUCGGCUCAGCGCAACCUCCACCUGCCGGGUUCAAGCGAUUCUCCUGCCUCAGCCUCCCGAGUAGUUGGGAUUACAGGCAUGUGCCACCAUGCCCAGCUGAUUUUGUAUAUUUAGUAGAGAUGGGGUUUCUCUAUGCUGGUCAGGCUGGUCUCGAACUCCUGACCUCAGGUGAUCUGUCUGCCUUGGCCUCCCAAAGUGCUGGGAUUACAGGCAUGAGCCAUUUUGCCUGGCCAAAAUUAAUACUUUUUAUAUUAAAUUUACAUAUAUAUAUAUAUAUAUAUGUUUUUUCUUUUUGAUACCGGGUCUCACACUGUCACCCAGGCUGGAGUACAGUGGCACAACCUCUGCUCACUGCAGCCUCCACCUGCCAGGCUCAAGCAAUGCUCCUGCCUCAGCCUCCCGAGUAGCUGGGAUUACAGGUAAGUGCCACCACACCCAGCUGAUUUUUGUGUUUUUUGUAGAGACGAGGUUUCGCCAUGUUUCCCAGACUGUUCUCAAACUCCUGAGCUCAAAGCAGUCCACCCACCUUGGCCUCCCAGAGUGCUGGGAUUACAGGUGUGAGCCAUCUUGCUCAUUCUAGUUUAAACUUUUGAGUAGUUUGUGUCUCCUGAUUGGACUCCUACAAAUACAGAAUUGAUGCUAGGAAGGGUACCAGGAGAUAGACGCACACAGAUGGGAUUUGGGAAUAGGUUUGGUUAUCCAAGGAGCAGUGCUGAGCUCCUUGCUAAUGGGAUAUGGGAUGCUGGUGAUUUCCAGGAAGUGAGCUCACAAUGACUCAAGCUGCCACAUAGUGUUGAUUGUGAAAUGCCAGUUGAAGCAUAUGUCCUGCGAGCUUGGGGGUGCUACAAGUUGACCACUGCAGCAGUAAAGAUGACUCUGAAGAAUGGCGUGGGAUGGAUCCUUUCAAAUGCACUUGAGCAGCAGUCUCCAACCACAGGGCCACAGAGCUGGAGCUGGAUCUACCAUGAAAGACUUCUGAAUCCAGGAAGAGAGACUGACUGGGCAACAUGUUAUUCAGGGUCUCCCUCUGUUGUCCAAGGCUGGAGUGUAGUAGUGCUAUCACAGCUGACUGCAGCCUCAACCUUCUAGGCUGAAGCGAUCCUCCCAUCUCAACCUCCCACGUGGCUGAGACUACAGGUGCUUGCCACUAUGCCCAACUAAUAUUUGGAAUUUUCGUAUACGUGGAUUCCAGAGGGGUGACAGCGAAAUGUGAGUAAGCAUGGAUUUUGGUAUAUGCAGAGAUGGGGGGCUGGAACUAAUUCUGUAUACUGAGGAACGACUGUAUAUGUUUUUACAAUUACGCUGUAGGAUACAUACUGUUGCAUAGCCUUGAAAAUAAUAAUUUUUAAUUGAGUGGAAUAAUAAUAAUAUUGAUAAAAGUAGCAGCUGGCCAGGUGUGGUGGCUCACACUGGUAAUCGCAACACUUUGGGAGGCUGAGGCAGGAGGAUGGCUUGAGGUCAAGAGUUUGCGAUAGGCCUUGGAAACAAAGGGAGUCACCAUCCCUACAGAAAAAUACAUGAAUUAGCCUAGUGUGGUGGCAUGUUCCUGUAGUCCCAGCUACUUGGGAGGCUGAGGUGGGAGGAUCACUUGAGCCCAGGGAGGCUGAGACUGCAGUGAGUCAUGAUCAGGCCUCUGCACUCCAGCCUGGGUGACAGAGUGAGACCCUGUCUCAAAACAACAAAAAAGUAGCAGCUAACAUCAACUGACCUUUUACCAGGUGCCUAUUGAUACCAUAGUUUAAUUUCUUAUAACUGUUUCUUAUUUCACUUACCAACUCUGUCUUCAGUUACUCCCAGAUUUUUACUGUGUGUGUACAGAUGACCUUUUGUUUAGAUUGAAUUGUCUCCCCAGAAGUAAGAUUACUGUGAGUCAUGGUGAAUGGACAUUCUCAUUACCCUUGAUGUAAAUUGACAGGGUUUUGGGUGCCUCCUAGCUAUAAUCUUAGCACUUUGGGAGGCUAAGAGAGGAGGAUUGCUUGAGGCCAAGAGUUGGAGGAGGCAGUAUGGCAGUAUGGUGAGACCCUGUCUCUAUUAUUUUAAAAAAUUGACAGGCUUUACCCUGGAAGGCUUAUACACAAUUUAAACACCCCUCAUAGUAUAAAAAAGUGCCCAUUUCACUGCACCUUUGCCAGCACAGGGUAUUAUAAUUUAGUAAGUCAUUUUUUGUUUGAUUAUUUUACAUAGACAAAAGAACUCAUAUUACUUUACUUGUCACAUUUCAACAUCUUUCCUCAGCUUAUUAGCUCUAUUUCUUUUCUGUCUGUAAAUGGUUAUUGUUGUUUUGUUCUUUGAGACAGGGUCUUGCUCUGUCACCAGGCUGGACUGUAGUGGCAUAAUCAUGCCUCACUGCAGCCUUGACCUCCCAGGCUCAAACUUCCGCAUUCCGAAUAGCUGGGACUACAAGUGUGCACCACCACCCCCAGCUAACUUUUUUCUUCUUUUGGAUAGAGACAGGGUCUCACUGUGUUGUCCAGACCGGUCUCUAGCUCCUGGCCUUAAGCAAUCCUCCUGCAUUAGCUUCUCAAAUUGCUGGAAUUUCAGGCAUGAGCCACCGUGCCUGGCCUGGGCUAGUCCUAUAUUCUCUAGAGUUCUCUUUACUUUGUGCUAGUCAAUCUCUCAUUAUGCUGUUCACCUGUUAUAAUGAAUAAUUCUCUGUAUUAAAUUUUACCACUUUAAACUUUUGAGUGGUUUAUGCUUCCUGAUUGGACUCUGACUAAUAUGUUAGGAAGGGUCCCAGGAGAUAAACCCACACAGAUGGGAUUUGGGCAGUGCUGAGCUCUUUGCCAGUGGGAAAUGGGAUGCUGGUGAUUUCCAGUAGGUGACCUCACAGUGACUCAAGCUACCACUUACUGUUGAUUGUGACGAAAUGCCAGCUGAGGCACAUGCCUUGGGAGCUAAGUGGUUGCUGCACUUGACCACUGUGAAGACUGGUGUGGGAAGAAGGGUCGUUUCUGAUGCACUUGAGCAGGGGUCCCCAACCCCUGAGCCAUGGAGCCGCAAGGAGCCACACAGCAGGAGCUCCUACCUCCCGGCAGCCUCUCCAGGCCCAGAACUUUCUCCAGUCAGCCUCUACAGACCAAGCUCAUGACUCACAAUGGCCUAUUUAGGCCCAUACCCUACCUCACGGCAGUCUCCGCAGAUGAGCCUACUGCCUCACAACAGCCUCCACAGGCACAGCUCCAUCGUUACAAUGGCCUCUUUAGACCCAGCUCCUGCCUCCCAGCCUUCUCUCCAGGCCCUGAACUUUCUCAAGUCGACCUCACCAGGCCCAGCUCAUGCUUCUUUGCAGCCUCUCCAGGCCCAACUCCUGCAUCUUGGUGGCCCCUCCAGGCCCAGCCUGUGCCUCCCGUCGGCCUCUACAAUCCCAACAUCUGCCUCACAGCAGAUUCUUCACGCCCAGCCUCUGCCUCACAGUGGACCCUCCAGACCCAGAUGGUGUCUCACUGUGGCAUCCUCAGGCGAAGCUCCUGCCUUUCAGCAGCCUCUCCAGGCCCAGCUCCUCCUGCCUCCCAGUGGCCUCUUUCGGCCCAGCCCAGCUCAUGCCUCCCGGCGGCCUUCCCAAGCCCCGCUUUUGACUUUUGGUGGCCUCUGCAGGCCUCGACAAGGCCCAGCCUCCUGCCUCCCGAAGGCCUGCACAGGCCCAGCCUCUGCCUCACAGCGGACUCUCCACGCCCAGCUAGCUCUCGCCUCACUGCGGCCUCCCCAGUCCAAAGCUCCUGCCUUUCGGCCACUUCGGCAGGUCCAGCUACUGCCUGCCAGUGGCCUCUUUAGGCCCAGCUCAUUCCUCACAACGGCCUUUCCAGGCCCCGUUUUUCCCUUCCGGCAGCCUCUUGGCUUCUAAUUUGUUUAUCUUUUGUGUAUAAAUCCCAAAAUAUGGAAUUUUGGAAUAUUUCCACCAUUAUAUAUUUUGGUCGGUAAUUUAUUUGGAGUGAGUUUCUGCACCAUGCCCGAAUUUUUUAUUUUAUUUUCCUUAUUAUUUGGUGUUAAACAGGUUUAAUGACAGUCAUGGCAACUUUUUGGCACAAUGAAAAAUAUCGCCCAUGAUCAACGUGUUCUGUUCUGGGGAAGGGGGCAAAGGCAGGGUGAAUCACUUUCUUAAAAAGUAUAGCUCAAGUUGGGAGUGCAGAGGGAAUGGGGAGAAAACCCUCCCGCUGCCUGUGUCGAAGUGCAGGAGCCCCCACCCCCAUACUCACCUGAGUCCAGCCCCUCUGGGGAAAGAAGGGGUGCAUGAACUCCCCCUAGUCCACAGGCGCCUCCCUGUGGCCCAAGGCCCUCUUCACACUCCAUCUUGUAGCCCCAGCAGGAGCUAUUUUCUGAAAAGUGAAAAGCUCUGAAGGUCCCACAAUUCAUGGUAUGUACAGGGGCUCGGAGGAGGGAAACUGCCCAGCUUUCCCCCGGCACAGCUGCAGGGGUAGGGGGUAUAGAUAAGAGGAGCAGGCCUUGGCCAGGCGUGGUGGCUCACGCCUGUAAUCCCAGCACUUUGGGAGGGGGAGGCAGGCAGAUCACGAUGUCAGGAGAUCGAAAUCAGCCUGGCCAAGAUGAUGAAGCCCCGUCUGUACUAAAAAUACAAAAAUUAGCCGGACGUGGUAGUGUGCACCUGUAAUCCUAGCUACCCGGAAGGCUGAGGCAGGAGAAUGGCGUGA
rnacentral:lncRNA from 1 species